AGUGAACGCUGGCGGUAGGCCUAACACAUGCAAGUCGAACGGCAGCACAGUAAGAGCUUGCUCUUACGGGUGGCGAGUGGCGGACGGGUGAGGAAUACAUCGGAAUCUACUUUUUCGUGGGGGAUAACGUAGGGAAACUUACGCUAAUACCGCAUACGACCUACGGGUGAAAGCAGGGGAUCUUCGGACCUUGCGCGAUUGAAUGAGCCGAUGUCGGAUUAGCUAGUUGGCGGGGUAAAGGCCCACCAAGGCGACGAUCGGUAGCUGGUCUGAGAGGAUGAUCAGCCACACGGGAACUGAGACACGGUCCAGACGCCUACGGUAGGCAGCAGUGGGGAAUAUUGGACAAUGGGCGCAAGCCUGAUCCAGCCAUACCGCGUGGGUGAAGAAGGCCUUCGGGUUGUAAAGCCCUUUUGUUGGGAAAGAAAAGCAGCAGGUUAAGACCCCGCUGUUCUGACGGUACCCAAAGAAUAAGCACCGGCUAACUUCGUG
rnacentral:rRNA from 1 species